AAUCCUUUUAUUAUUAUCCUUCUUCCUUUUCUUCCUCUUCCCCUACGCAAAGUGAAGUCAUAGAAAAAGGCUCAGGAGGUAGUGGAGGGUCAGGUUUAAAGCCAAGAGAGAGGAAAAAACC
rnacentral:ribozyme from 13 species